rnacentral:tRNA from 1 species
UAAGUUAGAAGCGAAUUAUUGCAGCUAGUUUCGACCUAGACAUAUGGUUACUUAACCCUGACUUAU